AAGCUGAUCUGUAAGUAACUAAACUACCUGCAGAACAAAGUCCAAAUUUAUUAGUUCCAGUACUCCAAAAAAAACACAUGUAAAAAAAAAAUAGAUUUACAAGACAUUUAUUUGGGGAAAAAAAGAAUGCCUGAGGGUUGAAAUGGAGAGGAAGCCAGAGAGACAGAGUCCUCAGAAUACAUAAAAUUUCUGGCCUCCAUGGAGGUGUGAUGGUUAAUUUUAUGCAUGUCAACUUCGCUGGGCCACAGGAUGCCCCAUAUAUGAUCGAACAUUAUUUCUGGUUGUGUUCAUGAAGCUUUUUCUGGAGGAAAUUCGCAUUUGAAUUGAUGGACUGAAUAAAGCAGAUUGCAGUCCCCAGUGUGGAUGGGCUUGAUCCAGUCUUCUAAGGACCCAAAUAAAAUAGGUGGAGGAAGCUUGAAUUUUCUGCCUGACUGUGGCGCUGGGACACCCAUCUUCUCCUGCCCUUGAACUGGGACUGACACCAUCAGUGCUCCUGGUUCUCAGACCUUCGGACAGCAGACUUGGGGCCUUCUCGGCCUCCAUUAUUGUCUGCUUUUAGAUAUUUAACGGGAG
rnacentral:lncRNA from 1 species